rnacentral:rRNA from 1 species
UCCGUAGGUGAACCUGCGGAAGGAUCAUUGUCGAAUCCUAGAAAGCAUGACCGCGGAUAAGUUUACAAUUGGGGUAACGUCGAUGGGCCUUCGGGAUCCGAAGAUGUCAACUCCCUCGGCAGGCAAGUAGACUUAAUAUUUCCUUGUCUUUCGAAUUUAACAAACCCCGGCGCGCUCAGCGCCAAGGAAUCAAAAUGAAAAGAUCUUGAUCCCCUUUCUCGUUGAUCGGGAUGCGAGGGACUUGAUUGUUUAGAAAAUAUCAUAACGACUCUCGGCAACGGAUAUCUCGGCUCUUGCAUCGAUGAAGAACGUAGCAAAAUGCGAUACUUGGUGUGAAUUGCAGAAUCCCGUGAAUCAUCGAGUCUUUGAACGCAAGUUGCGCCUGAAGCCGUUAGGUUGAGGGCACGUCUGCCUGGGCGUCAUGCAUUGUGAUGACCCCCAUACAUUAGUAAGGGGUGAAUCUUGGCCUCCCGUGAGCUCAACUUGCGGUUGGCUUAAAAAUGAGCUUGUAGACGAGUAAGUGUCUUGGCAAGUGGUGGUUGACUGGGCCUCGGCCUUAAAACUUAGCAUGUUGAGACCUUUCACUGUAUUGCUGGAAUAGGCUUUUUUAUUGGUGUUCCAUGAACGCGCUUUAGCAUUGUGACCCCAGGUCAGGCGGGACUACCCGCUGAGUUAA